UCAUGGAAUCCCUCUCCCUUCUCUCCCGGACUUCUCCUUCUCUCUCUCGAGCUCUCUCUCUCUUCUCCUCCUUCACUGUGCCACACCCAUAACCCAUAUCCUAAAAUCAUCAUCAAAACACAUUUUCGACAUCACCAUCUUCUUUAUCUCAUCAUUACGAACACAACCAUAAUCUUGGCAUCUUAGAAGUCGAACCAUGAAGCCUCGUACACGAACUCCGACGCAGGCCGCCAAUUUUCGAGCGAUCCACAACGAGUUAAGAAAGUUUCUGGCGACGUCCGAGGCUUUCGAGCCAUUUUUCGACCAAAUUACGGCGAUUUAGCCGUCAAGGAGGGUACCAAUCUGUUCGUCUCGUUUUGAGUUUUUCCGGCCAAAAAACCCAGUUUUCCGGCGAACCCGUAGGCCAUUUUUCGGCCAACUCCGGCCAGGGUUGAGGAAACUAAAGAUAAUCCCCUUGUCCCCAGCAUUGCCCGUUUCUACUUGGAAGAUAAAGCUAAAUAUGAUGAGCUUGCUUCUGAGUGGACGCUGCGAUUUGCUAAGUGAUUUUACCUGGGAUCUUCUUAUAUCGUUGCAAAUAGUCAGGAAGGACGUUAUGUUAUGAACUGAACACUGUGAGCUAGCGUGUUAUGUACGCAACGGGUUUGAUACCAAGCAUGAAUGUACCAGCUGAAUUUUUUGUGGACCGAUCGUUGAAUAACCGAAAACCAUGCUCAAAGGAAAAUGCUUGUAAUAUAUCCUCCGUAUGAGAUCAAUAUCAUAUGUAAUAUAUCCCUAUUGCUUGAUUUGAUGCUCUACUAA